UAGUCAAAUGAUGACUUCUAUGUUAUUGUCAUUGCUGAUGUUCUGGAUAUAUUUAAUAUUUUGUUUCCUAGCUAAACAAUAAGUGCAGUAAGAAUUAUAGGUAGAGCCCCGCAAAAAAAAAAAAAGAAUUAUAGGUAGAGAACAGCUAUAGCAAGGCUCUCCUAUCUUAUAUAUAGAAAGAAGAGGUAGCAGGAAACCACAUCCCUUCUUCAACGAUGGAAGUAAGAUCUUUAAAUUUGUGCUUCCUCUUGGUUCUUGUUUUGCUUAUGAGUCCAGCGCCAACGGCAGUAGCUUUUUCCCCAGAGGAUUGCCUCGAUGAUGUUGGCUGGAUACUCAUCUGCACAAAACCGACAUGCAAAUUUAGCUGCUGGACUUCACGCUCUGUGAACAAGGGGAGGAAAAUGCAGGACUACUGGUGCAGUGAUUCGAACACCUGCCACUGCGUCUUUUGCACCGGCGACUAAGAAUUCAGUGGCUGUCUUGAUAUCCCACAAGAUGUAGCAGCAUGAAUAUCCAAGGGAAUAAUCAAUAAUAAACUUGUUGCUUGCAUCACCUGGAGCUA